rnacentral:lncRNA from 1 species
GAGACUGCUCGCACACUUCUCAUUGAAUCUCAUGUUCCGCUGCGUUUUUGGGGCGAUGCAGUUCUCACAUCUUGUUAUUUGGUUAAUCGGAUGCAUUCAUUUCCCAUCCAGAAUCAGAUUCCGUAUGAGGUAUUGUUUCACCGGCCACCCUUAUACUCUGUUCCCCCUCGUGUUUUUUAGAGCACUUGUUUCGUUCAUAAAUUAGCACCUGGGAAAGAUAAGUUAGCUACUCGUGCUCUCAAGUCUGUCUUCCUUGGUUAUUCUCGUGUUCAGAAGGGAUAUCGUUGUUAUUCACCUGAUCUUCGUAGGUACCUUAUGUCAGCCGAUGUCACAUUUUUUGAGUCGAAACCUUUCUUUACCUCUUCUGACCAUUCUGACCAUCUGGAUAUAUCUGAGGUUUUACCUAUACCGGCUAUUAGGGAGUCUACUAUAUCUCCUCCUUCACCUUCUGCUACAGAAGUCUUACCCAUUCCAAACGUUGAGGUUUUACCUAUACUGGCCUUUAGGGAGUCUACUGUAGCUCCCCCUUCACCUUCCUCCACAGAAGUCUUACCCAUUCCAACCCUUGGAGAGUCUAGUGUGGCUCCUCCUAGACUCCAUGCCACAGAAACUUCACUCUUGACAUAUCAUCGUCGUCCUUGCCCAGCAUACGGCCCGGCUGAUUCACGUCAUGCACCUGACCCUGCUCCUAUUGCGGACUUGUCUCUUCCGAUUGCACUUCGAAAAGGUAUACAAACCACCCUUAAUCCUAAUCCCCAUUAUGUCGGUUUAAGUUAUCAUCGUUUGUCAUCACCCUAU